rnacentral:lncRNA from 1 species
CUGGUACUAACAUCAGCAGCACCAAUACAACAGUCACACCAGAGAUGACCUCAGCUGCUGGUACUAACAUCAGCAGCACCAAUACAACAGUCACACCAGAGAUGACCUCAGCUGUAAAGCAUUGCGCCUGCCUCAAGAUCUCUCUGUUUACACUCCGAUUGAUGCACGUGACCAAACAGAAAAUGCUGCUACUCCUUUGACACUUCACCAGUAAGAUCUAGGAACAGCUGUCACAGAACAUGCCACAACCAAGCUGUUACCAACAUCUUCACCUCCCAUGAAAUAUUCACACCUGAGAUGAGCUACGCUGGUAAUGUAGUCUGAUGUUUCAUUUUAAUGUUUUAACUGAAUGUUUGUGA